rnacentral:rRNA from 1 species
AGAGAGAGACAUGCGCGCAUAUCAAUAAGCGGAGGAAAAGAAACUAACAAGGAUUCCCUUAGUAACGGCGAGUGAAGCGGGAAGAGCUCAAAUUUGAGAUCUUCAAGGUUCUACCUUGACGAAUUGUAGUUUAAAGAAGUGUUUUCUGUUAGUGGAGUGGCAAAAGUUCUUCGGAAUAGGACAUCAUAGAGGGUGAGAAUCCCGUAUUUGGUCAUUCCUUCUAGCUUUGUGAUACACUUUCAAAGAGUCGGAUUGUUUGGGAAUGCAGUCCAAAAUGGGUGGUAAAUUUCAUCUAAAGCUAAAUAUUGGCGAGAGACCGAUAGCGAACAAGUACCGUGAGGGAAAGAUGAAAAGAACUUUGAAAAGAGAGUUAAACAGUACGUGAAAUUGUCAAAAGGGAAGCGUUUGACACCAGUGUUGUUUUCUCGAAAAUCAAUCAAAAAAGGCCGGAUUUUGUGUUGUAUUGACCUUAAAAGCUUUCUUCACUCUUUUCUUGUCUUUUUUAAUGCACCUUUCGUUUAACAAGUCAACAUCAGUUUCUUUUGUUGUAAAAGGGUCAUUGGAAGGUGGCUUUCCUUUCGGAGAAAGUGUUUAUAGCCUUUGCUCUCUGCAAUCGGAGAGAUUGAGGUCUGCAGCGUAGAUCCUUCGGGGUUAGAUACAUUUGUGCUAAGUUAUAGCCUUUCAUAGACAACUUGUUGACUAUGUAUCAGUCAUGUAGCUUACUCGCUUAUGCUAUUUUACCUACGCUUAGGAUGUUGACAGCAGUAUAGACUGU